GCGAUUGCAGGCAGCUGUGUGAUUGAGGGAGCGCAGCAUUUCUUUGGCAGCAGCGAGCGCAGCACUGAUCGCCCAGCACGUAGCAGCUAGCAGCCAGUGAAAGAGCGUGUGCGCAAGUGGGAUAUUCUACAUUCAGCUUGCAUUUCAAGGGCAAAACUAUGAAGUCUUGGGAUGGACGUGGUUGUGGAGGGCACAAGCAUUUAGCUGAGCAAUUUGCUCAGUUUCUUGGUGAUAAUGCAUUGGUGGUGAAACUUUCACCCACACACUUUUGUUCAUAUCAGUUCAUACUAAUAAGUUUGUAUACAUUUUUGCAAUUUAUAUUCUAAUGCCUCUUUUCUUUUGUGUAGAGUAUAAAAAAAGUUGGGGCUUACAAUGUUUGGAUAUACAAAACAUAUAGUGGAUGUGACUUGUGGUGAUAGUGGAGAGACAUUUAAAUUUCAAUGGAGUGGCCGGAAGGAAUUUAUGGUAAGCAAUGAUUGGAUGGACUUUUGUGAUGAUCGUGGGCUUAAUAUUAAUGACUAUAUUACCUUA